GCUGAUAUGGCCGAGUCGUUAAGGCGAGUGAUUUGAAUUAACAAUCUUAUCACUUGGGCAUUGCCCGCGUAGGUUCAAAUCCUGCUGUCAGCG
rfam:Gloeophyllum trabeum ATCC 11539 unplaced genomic scaffold GLOTRscaffold_00001, whole genome shotgun sequence.